CUUCCGCUUCCUUCCUUACUUGCGCUACUUCGGGCGACUUGUUUUCUGUCCUCUGUUUCCAGACAGUCACACAACUAGUCAAUGGCUAUUCCUACAAAGAAGCUUCCAAAGCAGAUGGCGAGAAGAAGGAGCUGACGUCGAUGCGUUUUGACAAAGAAUGAAGAAAACGCAUCGCAGAUGCUGGUGGUCAGCGUCUCAACGUGGUCUUGCCUGGGUGUCUAGACCGACAAAGAUCAUCAUGACAUAGAAGCCAACGGCCCAAAUGUGAGGGAAGGGCAUCAGACUCACGGCGCGAGGAUACAGGCGUAAACCAAUAUCCAGGAAAGCAGAAGACAUAGGGCCAAGUCCCAGCGAAUGUUUCCCAUUUCCUCAAGUCCGCUUGAUAGCCCCAAAAUUCUUCUCCUGGACAGAAAUCCGAGGAAAAACACUCAUAUACACACACACACACACACACGCAUACACACACAUGGUACUUACUCCCAAUACUCUACAGCUGAAGAUGUGUUGUUUGUGGACUCUGACAGAGUUUGAUUGUGUCCCAGACAUGAAUCUUUCAUGCGAGCACCUGUGUUCCAGCUGUUGAGACAGUUAGCCCACGGAAGUUCCGAGUGGAAGGAUGAGAAGAGGAAGAGGAAUUCCCAGCUCAGGAUAAUAAUCCAGGUCAAAAAGACGGAUGUCAUGUCAUUCACCUUCAAAAAGAGGGCAGAUUUUCCUCCAACACGUUAUUGCACCUUGACCGGUGUACUGGCCCAGGGAUGUCUCCAGGAUGAAGAGAGGGAUGCCACAGGUUUUCUACCGUAAAAACAAAUGUACCGUCUUUCCAUUGUGGAGGGGGUGUGGUCCACGUGUCCCCUGGGGGCAGGGCGUGUGCAGGAGCUGGCGGUGAAGCAACUGACAGAGUCGCGGGGGGUGCUGGAGCCUAUCUCAGCUGCAUUCGGGCGGAAGGCGGUGUACACCCUGGACAAGUCGCCACCUCAUCGCAGUGGUCCAAAUGCCUUUGAAGAUGAGGCACUGGAGCCUAUCUCAGCUGCAUUCGGGCGGAAGGCGGCGUACACCCUGGACAAGUCGCCACCUCAUCGCAGUGGUGCAAAUGCCU